rnacentral:rRNA from 1 species
GACGGAGGAUGCAAGUGUUAUCCGGAAUCACUGGGCGUAAAGCGUCUGUAGGUGGUUUAAUAAGUCAACUGUUAAAUCUUGAGGCUCAACCUCAGGCCUGCAGUCGAUACGGGCGGACUUGAGUACUGCAGGGGAGACUGGAAUUCCGGGUGUAGCGGUGGAAUGCGUAGAGAUCCGGAAGAACACCAGUGGCGAAGGCGGCCCGCUGGGCAGUGGCUGACGCUGAGGCGCGACAGCGUGGGGAGCAAACAGG